GGUCAAGGUCAAGCAUGCCCCUAUUUCACUUGAGCCAUUUGCAACCCUACAAACCAUGACAUGUGGUUGCUUGUUACUUGUGAAAGGCAAAUCGAUUUUUUUUUUUUGAUAAGAAAAUGGAGUGAAGGGGCAUGACCAGCGUAGCUACCCCCUCCAGGUGUGACCAUGUAGGCCCCCAGUCUGCUGGGGAAUAUUCGAUACAAGGUGACAAUGGAAGCCAGCUCAAUACUUCUCCACUAUGUGUGGGGCCUAUGGCCUCCCCAUCGGGUGGGCAUAUCACCCCAGCACCACCCAAGCACAGAGGGACCGGAUACCACCCCUCAUCGCCAGUGUCCAGGUAUCGAAUUAUAUCCUCAUUUAAUCGACUCCUCAUGUAGCUCGAACCUCAAACAUAAGGGUAAGCGGGCAAAGGCUCAUUCCAACUGGGCUACCACCUGCAUGGUAAAGACUAAUUGGUUUUAACCUUUUUUUUUGGAAGGCAGGUCAAAGACUUCUUAAUUUAUUUGAAGAAUGACAUAAAGAAGUGGGUUUUAAGGCUUCGUUCAAUUAUGGACAAUGCUUUAAUUUUUAAUAUGACUAAUUUUAAAACUCCCAGCCCCAAAUAAGUUUAACUUUUGGUUCACAUAUGUCUAAAUAAAAAUUCUUUGUGCACUGCCCUUGGUGUAGAAAAUCU
rnacentral:lncRNA from 1 species